rnacentral:rRNA from 1 species
GAUGAACGCUUGCUACAGGCUUAACACAUGCAAGUCGAGGGGUAACGAGAGGAAAGCUUGCUUUCCUUGUCGACGACCGGCGCACGGGUGAGUAACGCGUAUCCAACCUGCCCCCAACUAGGGAAUAACCUUGCGAAAGUAAGACUAAUACCCUAUAAUUUCCUCAGAUGUCAUCUGACGAGGAAUAAAGAUUUAUCGGUUGUGGAUGGGGAUGCGUCUGAUUAGCUUGUUGGCGGGGUAACGGCCCACCAAGGCAACGAUCAGUAGGGGUUCUGAGAGGAAGGUCCCCCACAUUGGGACUGAGACACGGUCCAAACUCCUACGGGAGGCAGCAGUGAGGAAUAUUGGUCAAUGGGCGGAAGCCUGAACCAGCCAAGUAGCGUGCAGGAUGACGGCCCUAUGGGUUGUAAACUGCUUUUAUACAGGAAUAAAGUUAGCCACGUGUGGUUAUUUGUAGGUACUGUAUGAAUAAGGACCGGCUAAUUCCGUGCCAGCCGCCGCAGUAA